GAAUCUCAGGCGUCAUUGGCAUAUGGGGACUCAUCGCGCUGGGGCUGCUGUCCUGGGGAUCUGCUAUAGCUUCUUCUAGCAUCAGGAGGUGGUGGCGGCGACCUGCUCACGUCUCGGGCUCCCGGUGGUGACCUGCUGUUAUUUCUGGGAGGAGGUGGUGGUGGUGACCUGCUCAUUUCUCGGGCUCCCCGUGGUGACCUGCUGUUAUUUCUGGGAGGAGGCGGCGGCAGCGGCGGUGACCUGCUGAGACUCCGUGCACGAGAUCCUGGUGGUGACCUGCUGUAACUUCGCCUCCUAGGAGAACGAUCUCGUGGGCUGUAGCUCCUGAAAAAACCCAACAUUUGUUUUCAGGUUUAACACAAAAAUAAUCCAUUGAAAAGGCUGCUAGCAAGGAAAGAAUACAUGGAUCUGUAUUUUAUGC
rnacentral:lncRNA from 1 species